CUACGGGAGGCACCAGUGGGGAAUAUUGCACAAUGGAGGAAACUCUGAUGCAGCAACGCCGCGUGGAGGAUGACACUUUUCGGAGCGUAAACUCCUUUUAUAUAGGAAGAUAAUGACGGUACUAUAUGAAUAAGCACCGGCUAACUCCGUGCCAGCAGCCGCGGUAAUACGGAGGGUGCAAGCGUUACUCGGAAUCACUGGGCGUAAAGAGCGUGUAGGCGGAUAGAUAAGUCAGGAGUGAAAUCCUAUGGCUCAACCAUAGAACUGCUCUUGAAACUGUCUAGCUAGAAUAUGGGAGAGGUAGAUGGAAUUUCUGGUGUAGGGGUAAAAUCCGUAGAGAUCAGAAGGAAUACCGAUUGCGAAGGCGAUCUACUGGAACAUUAUUGACGCUGAGACGCGAAAGCGUGGGGAGCAAACAGGAUUAGAUACCCGAGUAGUC
rnacentral:rRNA from 1 species